CAGAUGGCUGAGCUCGGAGAGUGUUGUCUGCAGGAGGCGGAGUUGACAGGAGAGCUUCCUGGUGAUUUCCCCCUGGAGGCUGGUGAGAGACGCCCCAACGUACGCCGGCGGGUCGGAUCCUACCGCCACGGACCCAAGACUAUUAUAAAGACAGAGGAGGAAGUGUGUCAGAGGAAGCAGAAGAAGACGCUGUUCAGCGGUGCCCUGAGACGCCGUGUAGACUCUGAUCAGCACCCAACGCACAGCAAGAGGACUGUACACCGAGGAUGUCACACGGGUAAUAACAUACCACCUUUCAGUGGCACUACUGUGAUCUAACCUUUCACUGUGACUGCACUGGUUAAAAUACACACAGGUAACUUCCCCCCUUAUCACUGUGACUUCACUGGUUAAAAUACACACAGGUAACUUCCCCCUCAUCACGGUGACUGCACUGGUUAAAAUACACACAGGUAACUUCCCCCUCAUCACUGUGACUUCACUGGUUAAAAUACACACAG